rnacentral:rRNA from 1 species
CCUACGGGAGGCAGCAGUGAGGAAUAUUGGUCAAUGGACGAGAGUCUGAACCAGCCAAGUAGCGUGAAGGAUGACUGCCCUAUGGGUUGUAAACUUCUUUUAUAUGGGAAUAAAAUGUUCCACGUGUGGGAUUUUGUAUGUACCAUAUGAAUAAGGAUCGGCUAACUCCGUGCCAGCAGCCGCGGUAAUACGGAGGAUCCGAGCGUUAUCCGGAUUUAUUGGGUUUAAAGGGAGCGUAGGUGGAUUGUUAAGUCAGUUGUGAAAGUUUGCGGCGCAACCGUAAAAUUGCAGUUGAAACUGGCAGUCUUGAGUACAGUAGAGGUGGGCGGAAGUCGUGGUGUAGCGGUGAAAUGCUUAGAUAUCACGAAGAACUCCGAUUGCGAAGGCAGUUCACUGGACUGCAACUGACACUGAGGCUCGAAAGUGUGGGUAUCAAACAGGAUUAGAUACCCGAGUAGUC